rnacentral:rRNA from 1 species
GUCCACGCCGUAAACGAUGUCGACUAGCCGUUGGGAGCCUUGAGCUCUUAGUGGCGUAGCUAACGCAUUAAGUCGACCGCCUGGGGAGUACGGCCGCAAGGUUAAAACUCAAAAUGAAUUGACGGGGGCCCGCACAAGCGGUGGAGCAUGUGGUUUAAUUCGAAGCAACGCGAAGAACCUUACCUGGCCUUGACAUGCUGAGAACUUUCCAGAGAUGGAUUGGUGCCUUCGGGAACUCAGACACAGGUGCUGCAUGGCUGUCGU